rnacentral:rRNA from 1 species
UACGUAGGGGGCAAGCGUUGUCCGGAAUCAUUGGGCGUAAAGCGCGUGUAGGCGGCUUGGUAAGUCCGCUCUGAAAGCCCGGGGCUCAACCCCGGGAGGCGGGUGGAUACCGUCAAGCUCGAGUCCGGAAGAGGCGAGUGGAAUUCCUGGUGUAGCGGUGAAAUGCGCAGAUAUCAGGAGGAACACCAAUUGCGAAGGCAGCUCGCUGGGACGUUACUGACGCUGAGACGCGAAAGCGUGGGGAGCGAACAGG